rnacentral:snRNA from 1 species
UUAAUUACCUCGUCGCCGCCGAAGGGCAAUCGUGAUCAGGAAGGCGAUACCCCAAGGUUCCUGCUUCAGGAGAAGCAACCUUGUAGAUUAUCACAAAGUUGAUAAGACUGGCGGCCAAUUUUUGAUAGUUGGGACGACAAUGUUGUCCCCCUUU